UGCCACAGCCCCCUCACUGGGGCCUCUGCCAGGAUAGUGUCCCCUCCUCCACACCUGUGGUAUGCAAGCUCUGGGGUCUGCGUUGGGCGAACAUUUUCUGGCUUUGAGAGCUUUCCUCUACUUCCAGAGUCCCUCUCAGGCCAAUCUCCCAUCUCCCCAGCAUCCUCGGCUUUUGUGUUCCAGCCAGCAGGAAAAAACCCUUGGCUUGGCUCCUUGUCUGUCAGGAGUCCAACAUUUCCAGGGGGCUUGCUUGGUUUCAAGUAUUGCCCGGUGCUUUUCCUCACUCUGUAGCCGAGCUUUAGCCAGGAUUUCUUGGCUCUGGGUAAGAUCGAAUGCCGGCCUGUGUGCUUGUCUGUGUUUCAUUUGUAGCUGCCCUAUCCCUGCUUGGGUGACAGUCUCAGGCCUCUCUGCCAGCACAGCCUGUCUUGCAGAGCCAGCAGAGGAGGCCCUUUGUGAGGCUGUCCUGGAGCGUGGAAGGGCGAUGCCUCUGAGUUCCUCCUCUGCCCUGUGUCCUGCCUUCACUCCAGCACAGCCUAGGGUCAAGGGUGGCACUGGCUUCCAAGAGUAUGCUAGCUGUCUCCUAGGCAUAGCAAAGAGCAGAUUGCCAACCCUAAACAGCCCUGGCUCCUAACUGCUUCCAAAUCAGACUGGGACCAGCUAAGCACCUGGUCUUGCCUUCAUAGAACUUUGCAGCUGAUCUUUCCCCACAGGGCUUGGCAAGGCUGUGAAGAUUUGGAACCAAAAGAACUCAGCUGUCCUGCAGCAUGCCAGGCCUCAAGCUUGCCUAGGGACUUCCUUCCUUCUUUUCUUUCCUCCUUCCUUCUUUCCUUCCUUCCUUCAUCCCUCCCUCACUCCCUUCCUUUCUUCUUUCCCCUAGGCCUCAAGCUCUGCCUUCCUGGAUUCCUCAGGUGCUUCCUGAUUCUGCAGUUCCCCAGCCCACUGCAGGGCCACCAGGACCUAGAGUCCAAGGGUCAGGAAAGAGCUUGAAGCUUGUUUUGGCAACACUGUUGUUAUCCAUAGCUGCAAAAGAGUCUGAGUCACCGGCUAUAGUUUACAGGAACCAGUUUAGGACAUGAACACAGAAGCAAAGAACUUAGGGACCCCCAAUGUGUAUUUAUCACCAAAGGUGAUCUGUGCUGUGCCAUCACCUGGAGUAGAAGGCUGCACAUGAAGGUGCCCUUCUCUGCUUGAGAUUAUAAGGUGUGACCCAGAGCUCUGCUUUUCUGGAGUGUCAUGGCCUACGUGCAGAUAAAUACACAGGUAUCUGGAGCCUAAGGAAAGUAACUGUCACCAGUGUGCAGCUGUAACUGGUUAGGGAGGAAAAGAGGUUGUGUGGGGGAGGGCGGGGGGGGGGAUAUAGGGGUAUGUCUGACAGUUCUCAUCUCAGUGAGUGUUUGGGAGAACAAAGCAGGUCAUUCAAACUCUGCCUUCCAUUGUUCAAGGUCAAUCUCUACAUUCAGCCUCCUUAUCCCAGGGCUGCCCAGACCCCAGGACUGACUGACUUGAGCACUAUGAGGAUGAAGGGCCUACUUAGAUGCUUGGUACCCAAGGAGGGAGUCACACACACCCUUCAUCCUUGAGUCAUCCGACUGAUGAGUGGUCUGACAGGUCCUAGCCUCAAAUACAGUUGAGGAAACUGAUGCUUAGUUUCUAGGCCUGUCCCCGGUCUGUGGGCACGAAAACAGUGGAGCAAGGAGGAUUGCACCCAGAGCGCUCGGAUGCUGCCUAGAACUGGGUGAGGUGACAAGCAGGGAAUGAGGGCCCCCUACCUCUAGCACUCUCUGGCAGUCCCAAGACCCCAAUUCUAGCCCUGUGGCUCCUCAGCCCAGGAUUGCAGAACCAGGGGAUUGGGAUAAAUCUUUAUAUUGUCUACUACCUAAGAAGGCCCUAAUACAAUAAGCUCAUUUUUAAAACUGAAACUGAAUGUCAUAGAACUCAUGCCUGUAAUUAAUACUAGCCUUGGACAACAUAACAUGACUGACCUCAAAAAAAAAAAUAAAUCAACAAAAUUUAAUUUUGUUGUUGCUAUUAUUUUGUUUUUCCAAAGUAGGGUUUCUCUAUGUAGUCCUGACUGUUCUGGAACUCUGUAGACCAGGAUGACCUCAAACUCACUGAUUCACUUGCCUCUCCCUCCCAAGGGCUGGGAUUAAAGGUGUUUACUACCACUGCGUGGCACAAAAUUAAAUUUAAAACUUUUAAAUAAAAUAACUUCUGCUCUUCAGAAUGUGUGUCACUAGGCACCGCCUACCACCCUCUUGUUCUUGUUAUCUGUGAGUACUGCCUUGUCUCUUGAGAAAUGAGGGAGUAUGGGGGGGGGGUGUGCAGGGACGGGGACCCCUGACCCGGACCAAGUGCUGGGACUACAGGUGUCUGCCACCACACUCAGACAGUGUCCCACAAUCUAAAAGCAUGCAAGGCCCCCCUCAGAGUGGCUGCUUUCUCUAUUCUGCUAAGUUCUGCCUCCAGACAGAUGUGUGUCCUAGUCAGUUCCUUCUUUUGGAGCAUUUGUCCACAGGUCUUCAGGUCCUAAGAACACCUAUGGAGGAGGCAUCUCGUGAAGCAGCUCUGUACCUCAGUGUGCAUUAGUCCUUUCCCCUUAGCCUUUCCACCUUCCCUGCUCUGUCCCCUUCUCCAGGGUUUUACUGUGUAGCCCAGGCUGUACUCAAACUCUCAAGCCUCCUACUUCAAACUUCAAGCUCUGGCAUUAUGGGCAUGUGUCACUAUAUACAGCCUGCUUUAAUUUCUUUAUAGUCCUCACCCACAUACGAAACAGUUUGACUUUGUGUCCACACUGCUCUUUCAAUUAAUGGAGACUACUGUGGUAGGGGAGAUGGCUCACUUGGGAAAGUGCCUGUCAUGCAAGAGUGAGGACCAGAAUUUGGAUCCCCAGCACAAAUGUGAAACUGCCACAGCACAUCUGUAACCCCAGUGGGUGGCAGACUCUGGGUGUGAUGACAGGUAACAUAAUACCUGACAAAAGUAGCAUAUUAAUGUCCAGUUUCAUCAUGGUAGGAGAGCUAGGGCAACCAGAACUUGAAGGAGCUGGUCACAUUUCGUCCAUCCACAGUCAGCAAAAGGAGAGGAAUGGAUAUUCAGUAUUAGCUAGCUUCCUUCAUUAUAUGCAGCCCAGGACCCAAACCCAGGGAACUACAAAAUCCUCCAUGUCAAUGAACUCAAUCAAGAUAAUCUCUCACAGGUUUGUUCAGAGGCUAACCUAAUAUAAAUCCCUCCCAAGUGCCUGGAGCUAGGCCUCCUAGGUGAUUCCAAAUCCUGUCAAGUUGACAAUCCACACUGAUCAUCUCAGGGACCUUCUCAAGUGGAGAGUGAUCAAGAAAGACACCAAUAUUGACACCUGGCCUCCUCAGACAUGUACACCGCACGCCCACACAUUUAAAUAUAUAUCCGAAUCCACAAACAUACUUUUUAAAAUCCUGGGCUUGGGCUGUAGCCCACCAGUGGAGUGCCUUGCUAGCAUGUGUGAGGCUCUGAGCACCAUCACUACCAUUGCAACAAAUACACUUACAAACAGCGCUUAAGGGCAAGUGUUUGCCUGGCUCAAUCCCAGGGUCUGGUGCAUUCUGGGCACAGUGGAUUUGACCGAAACACUCAUUGGUGCUCGAACUGACUGGAGAAGGAACACCAAACCCAACCGUGAAGAUGGGCUGAAUGUCUCAGGACUGGAGAGGGAAGCCAGAGAGUUCCCUGCAUCCCAGGGGCAGGCUGUGGCCAGGAGCGUGGGCGGGUUAAAUGGAAGAUAAAAUAAAUGCUAGCAUCCCUCCAGGUCUGUUCGCAGUGCUGCUGAGGAGGUCGCAUAACGGAGCAGGGAAUUCCUAGCAAGAGUUUCAGGAUGAUUGAUAGGUGGUAGGAUAUCCGUCUCGACGUCCUUAACUAAGUGCUCUCUCGCGGGAGCCCAGGAUUUCAGAAGACAAAGACAUUCAGAAGAGUCUGAAACCAGGGAUUUGUCCCCUAGGAUUUCAGAAGUAAGGAAAGCCCAUUACCCAACCUUUUAGGGACAAACACUGAGGUCCUGUUUCCGAAGGUCUCCCUAAGACCUGAGAUUUGCUGCAAGCACACACAGCAGGCACUCUUACACACGGGUUAGACUGGUAGUCCAGCGGUCCAGCCCUCAGCAGCAGCACGCAGCACACACGGCUCACACGCGGGGCUGCAUCCUUUUUAUUCACCCGGUGACUCAACACAGGCUUCUCCAGAUCCCCACCCUAAGGAUGCAUCCCCACCGCAGCUACUUGCCUUCCUAGCCCCCUCCACCCAAUUCCUAAUUCCAUUGUCAGGGUUGAACAAAAGGCCCAGGCAUGGCAUCCUGGGUUGAAGGAUUUUUAACUCUGCCAAUCCCAGGAGGCUCCGACGUACAGCAGCUUCCUGUGGGAGAAUAGUGACUGAGACAUCUCCCUCAGGCUACUGAGGUUUGGAUUUGUUUCUGUCCCGUCGAUGUCUGUCUCUGUCCCCGAGUUUUCAUCCCGGUCCGUGACCACCCUCCUCGGGGUGGGGGUUCUCUGUGUAGCCCUGGCUGUCCUGGAACUCUGUGGGCCAGGCUGGCCUCUAAAUCAGAGAUCUACCUGCCUUGGCCUCCGGAGCGCCGGGUUUAAAGGCGUGCGCCACUCUGCCGGGCUUUGUUUCUAUUUUUAAGAACUGAAACAAGUUUCCAAUCGGACACUCCCCAGGAUGUCCCCAGAGAACUCCCAGAGGCCAUCGGGUCUUGAGGUCCGGAUGACUUCCGAGGUGUGAGACUGGAGCAAUUCCCAUAGGGUCUUCCCUACAGUCCCGGGUCCAGCUCGGCUGGGACAUCCCAGCGGGGAAUUGGCGGGGGAAGACGGCGCGUUCUGGAACAAAUCUGCAUUAGUGCACAAGCCCUGUUCAGCCCACCUGGCGUUAAAGUUAACCUCACCUCAACGCGGGCUAAAUUCUCCACCAGACAGAGACGAGCCGGAAGAGAAACGUGCUGGGGAAGCCCCAGCCCUUCAGAGUUGAUGGUGAAGAACCCCAGACUCUGCUGAAGGCUUCCUAUGAAGUUCAGACCACAGAAAAUGAUGGCAUCAAGCACAGAUGAAAAGGAACAGUGUGUAACUGUGUGUGCUCAGGCACCAUUAAUAUGUGUUGAGCAUUUCACAGAGCAAGUUCACAGACACGCAUGUGUCCUGCAGAGUGAGAGCAGAGACAAAACCAGGAUCCUGAAGUCCUGUGAGAGAUCUGUGGGCAGUGGUCACUCAGACCUGGGCCAAGGAUGGGGUUCUUCUGUGAUGAUGGGAGAAAGUGUCCUGGACAAACAGGGGAGAGCAUGGAUGUGGAGCUGUGUGCUGUGUGCAAGGCUGAGCAGGGAGAGCACGGAUGUGGAGCUGUGUGUGAAGGCCGAGUCCUUCGUCUCUUCUGUUUUUACCUGUUUCAUCUGUAAUCGGGCUCUUCCUAGAGCAGGAAAGGGUACACUGACCUCUGUUUAGAAAACACAGGAAAGGAACAAGGAAGCUCCCACAGCCGCAAAAGCCAGGGGACUAAGCCACAGCGCCUGCUCUCAGGGGAGAACUCUGAUUUUGAAGAAGAUAAGGACAGGCCAGUCCUGGGAAUGAGGUACCUAUGACUGCCAUCUUCCCACACGCCCUGAGGGGAGAAGAGUCCCACAACCUGUCUCCUUUCUGCUGAUUUCCAGGACCAGCUCCCUCCUGCCUCCUGGUGGUGGCUAACCUCUUCACAGUCUUUCCCGUCAAGUGGUUGGAUGCUGAUCCUACCCAGCACAAUGGCCUCUUCUUGAUGAAGUCUAUCUGUCACAACAGGUUUCAAAUCAACUGCAGACUGCUCCAGCAGCUUGCCAGCUCCAGGUGUUCCCUCGAAAUCUGGAUCCUGGACAUCUUCAAAGCAGCUAGCCCCAGUGGUCCAGUUUCAAAGAUGCCACCUGCACUUCUCUAGCCCCAGAUGGUCCUGAAGAGUCUGGACAAAGAGUGAAACAGUCUGCUCUUCCUGACUUGGCCAGCAUCCCCGCUUUCUUGGGUCCCCAAAGAUGUCAAUGUCUCCAGACAACAGGAAGUAGUCUAAAAAAUCACAUGCCCAGGCUGGAGAGAUGGCUCAGAGGUUAAGAGCACUGACUGCUCUUCCAGGGGUCCCAAAUUGCUCUUCCAAUUCCCAGCAACCACAUGGUGGCUCACAACCAUCUACAAUUCAAUCUGGUACCCUCUUCUGGCACGUAGGCAGAACACUGUGUAUGUAAUAAAUAAAUAAAGCUUUAAAAAUAUCACACUCCCCCACCCUGCCUCACCAGCCACCCCUUACUAUUUCCUCACCUUCUGUAAUAAGUUAUGAGGGAAGGACGUUGGUAAACUGAGAACCACUCACAUUCCAGAACCAAGUACUCCCUCAGCCUGCUUUCAGCAACUCAGUGUCAGCAGUCAAGUCAUCACCAGCUGCAAAAGCAACACAUUUGCACUGUGCCCAAGAGUCAGGUACCCUUUAUAAAGCCCGAAGGUGUGAGCCCUGCCCCUCCUUUUCUAUCCUUGCUCAGAAUGGGCCUUUUGCUCUCCACCCCUAAUAAAUCUCUUGCAUGAGAUCUAUUGCAUGGUUUAAACUUUUCAGACUUUCCUUGGUCCUGCUAUCACUGCAAAAUCCUAACACAAGGUUUCAUUUAGUUCAGGCUGGCCUAGAACUUUCUGUGUAGCAGAGGCUAUCCUUGGACUCCCAAUCCUGUCUGCAGCUCCCAUGUUCUAGGCUUAGAGGUGUGUGUGCCACCAUGCUUGGCAAAACAAAAACAAACAAACAAAAGAGAAACAAACAAAACAAAAACAAACAAAAAACCCUCAUUGUGUAACCUAAGACUUUAAUUUUGAAGCACUUGAAGAACAUCAAUUGAUAAAAUGUAAUGAAUACAAAUGUGUGGACUCUGGGGAAAUAAAAUUACUCAUAUAGUUCCAUUUCCAUAGAUAGGGCUUCUUUUUGUAUUUUAAAUGACUGGCAAUCUAAGGGUGGUUUUCACAUUUUUAAAGGGUAGAAAAAUAGGCAAAGAAGAAGAUGGGGGAGAUAUCUGCAUGGGCAUAUGUAGCUGGACCCGCCCUCCGCUGCAGGCCAGCUGCAGCCCUGGGGAAAGGUAGCUUUGCUUCCAUCCCAAUGGUAACUGACAGAAGUUACAGUCUCCAAGUUGCUAUGCCGACCGGGAAUUCAGCUCUUAAAAUAGGAGACUGU
rnacentral:lncRNA from 1 species